CACAGUUAGUAAGAGCUAGUCCUUGCAUUUAUGCUCUGCUUUUAUUUCCAUAUUCCCUAAUUUAACCAUUAUAUAGGAGACAAGUGUAUUGUGCCCUUUUUGUCCAAUUUGCAUUUCUUUUUUUUCUCUUCACAAUUUUCUACUUCCAGGUAUUUGAAAAAUGAGACCACUUUGUUACCAUGGUGACUCACAGGUGAAGAGAAAAGUAAGCCGCAAGUUUGCUGUGUUCUGAUGUACUGAUGCUUCAUCAAGAAUUUGUUCCCAUGCUGUUCUCAAAAUGAAUGGGGUCUCCGCCACUUCCCAACAAAGCCAACAUCUGGUUUAAGCAAGUUCAGAGUUUUGGGCUGAGGAAAACAGGAUGGUAAUAUACCCACCUCCAGACAGAUGGUACACUCCUGGAAUCAAACCCAUGACCUUGUGCAAAUCAGCGGCUAAGGCUGCAAACCACAAAGACAAGCAUCCUAACCUGCAGAGCUCAAAUAACAUUUCUUCGGGUAGGGAGGCAGGUGCUUAUCUUUACUGUUGGGUAACACUCAUUGUAACAGUUUUAAAAUCAUCUGAUACUCAGCUUCAUAAAAACUGAUCCCAGUUAACAUUAAGUUGCACAACCUUCAAUGAAAAAUCUAAUCUAAUUGUCCUAACAAGUUAUAUAGUAUUCCCUAUUAAAAAUUACUUUUGUUUCAUGCAGUUUUAGAGCAAAUUAAUUCUUCUUUGAUCAAUAUCACCAGAGUGAAAAAAUGAAAAUGUGGUGUCCGGCCCUUGGAAUGGAUGUAAAACUGGAUGGAAGAUUUAUUCAUGUUUUUGUCCUAUUUAUUUGGAUCAUCAGCAUGAGAAGCUGGUUCCUCCUUUAGCACUAUUAUGUGCAGAGCAAGAAUCACCCAUGAAUGGCUCAUCAGUCCAUUGCAGGGCAUACUCACAUAUAAAGUGUAAAUCUAUUAUGCAAGUCUUGGCAAGGGAGAAAGAAAACAUAAGUACAUGGAAGAACUCCACAUAGUCAGAUAGCACACAAGGCGUGAGAUUCUAAACUAGAUCUCUGAAGUUGUGCAAUAUCAAUUCUAGUCAAUGCACUAAGGGCAGAUCAGUUCUCUUCAACUUAAUAUUUGUCAAAUAUUUUUUACUUUUUCUCGGGAUUACGUAUGCGUUGAUACAGGGAAUUCUGAACAAUACAUCCAAUAUGCAAACUCAACAAUCAUCAAUGAUUAGUAGAACAUCAAUUAUCUGUACAUCAUUCAUCAAAACCUUCGAUUAUCUGAACAACCGCCACCCCAACACAUCCCACCCAAAAAAAAAAAAAAAA